UACGUAGGGCGCAAGCGUUGUCCGGAAUUAUUGGGCGUAAAGAGCUCGUAGGCGGUUUGUCGCGUCUGCUGUGAAAACCUAAGGCUCAACCUUGGGCUUGCAGUGGGUACGGGCAGACUAGAGUGCGGUAGGGGUGACUGGAAUUCCUGGUGUAGCGGUGAAAUGCGUAGAUAUCGAGAGGAACACCUGCGGCGAAGGCGGGUUGCUGGGCUGACACUGACGCUGAUGCGCGAAAGCUAGGGGAGCGAACGGG
rnacentral:rRNA from 1 species